AGAACUCAUCCCAAGGAAGCAGCUUUCUGGGCCUCAAACUGCACAACUCAUUCCUCUUCUGAGGGGGACGGGGGAGAACUGGGGGAUUUCACGGCCAGAUUACAGGCCCCCAGAGCUAGAAAUGUGCUUUUCAGAGUUACACAGAUACACAAUGUCCAGAAGUGUUUACUUGUGUGGCGUCCUUUACCUGGUGUCUGCUCCAGGCUGAGCCUACCUGCAGGGUGGGCGGCAAGGGUGUGGCUUGCGGUCCCCUGGAGGAAGCAGAGGCCAUUGGGGGCACGGCCUGGAGCAUCAGGUUCUGCAUGAUGACCUGGUGCAUCUGUGCGUUCUGCAGCAGCAUCAUCUCCACCAUGUCUAAAAGGGCGGGGAGGAGGGGCUCGGUUACACACACAGGGGCUCGCCCGUCCGUCAGGGGUCUCACCCGAGAACAGCUUGAGAGCAACUUAUUUGUUGGAACAGGUGUAGGGUGUUCCAGGUAUCUGUUCCUCCUGGGGGGGGGGGGCGGGGUCACAUUCCCAGACCUGAAAUUUCCAGGUCAGAGGGUGUGUGUGCUAUAAAGUGUGUGGACGGUGUCCAGUUGGGCUCCUAGGAGGUGGCUCCUCUUGCCUUCCUCCUGGCAGAUUCCUCAAGCCCACGGGGACUGCAUGGUGGCCCCUGACCUCAGAACAUGGCCUUGUUUGGAAAAAGGGUCUUUACAGAUUGAGCCAAACCGGUUAGGGCUACUCUGUUAUUCUUUGUUUCUUAUUCUGUAGGUCAACUCUGUUAUUUUUAGACUGUAAAGUAACUUUGUUUUUAGCUUCAAUAAUAGAAAAGAUAAACUUAACUGUCUGACUUUGCAAGCUGGCCAUCUAAAGGGACUGAUACGCUGAUACUGAUGAUAAUUCCCAUUCUCAUGCCAAGUGUUUGUAUCCAAGGUUACAGGUGUCUGUGUAGAUAUGACAGGUGUUUGCUAGAUAUGAUAUAUACUCAAGGUUACACGCUGUCUACAAAAAUAACUUACACAAAGAACUAGAAGGAUAUAAAAAGAAAAGACUCCCUCCUAUGUUUGUUCAGAAUUUGACAGAGGUAAUCCGCUCUGAACCUGCG